AAGGAGCACAUAGCCAGACCUGGGCGAAUGUCCCGGGUUGGUUGCUCAUGGGUGGAACGUUGACUAUUCGGCACACACGGUUGGUUGUUACCAGUACUGCUUCGGCGGUGGAAAGCUUCAGCGGGGUCGGGUGUGUCGGGCACGUUGUUGGGUCCUGAGGGAACGGCCUUAUCGUGGUACCUCUGGAGCCGGUCCCACGGACAUUGCCUUAUUCUUGGGGUUGUGUAGGUGGGUGUCUGGUCGUUGUUUGAGAACUGCACAGUGGACGCGAGCAUCUGU
rnacentral:misc_RNA from 1 species